UCUUAGGUAGUAUAGUGGUUAGUAUUCGUGCCUGUCGAGGGUUCUACUCUAGGUCGCACGAGACCGGGGUUCAAUUCUCUCGCCUGCGAG